UUACAUAUUUUUUUUUUGUCAAUAUUUUGAUAGGCAAUACGCUGCAGUCGGGUGUUUGUUGUUUUUGAAUUUGUUGCUUUCGAGUUGACAGUCUCUUGUUGUUGCAGUGCUCAAUUUCAAUUUCAUGGUCAUUUGUGCCACAGCAUUGCAUGCAGCUGUCUGUCUGUCGCGAGUUCGUUGCCUAAGUCUUUCGUUUCAUACAUUGCGUGCCGGUUGCGUGCGUGUCCGCGGCAAGGUGCGAGCGGGACACGGCUCGGGCUUGGGCAGCCGUACAAACUAAAACGACGGCAACCUUAUGCACAUUUAACAAGAUUCGCAUAAAAUUACAAAACUGACAUAAUUCAAGAUAGCAGCCUGCGCAGCUCUCACAAAAUUAUCUCAUUCCGAACUCCAGUUGGAGCUGGACUUGCGCUUCGAGUUGGAGUUGGAGUUGGAGUUGGAGCAUGUAGUCGUGGCCGUCUCCUAAAUGGCCUGCUAAUGGCCUAAAGUGUACUUGCCGAUAAUAUUUAGCACAUACGCAUCACUUAGUUCUCAGCAGUUUGUCUUCGCUUGGACCAACUAUCGAGCAGGCAGCAUGCUUGGACUCAGCUCUGGCUGUUCUGCCAUUUCUCUGUCAGUUUGGGCGCUUGCUUGAGCCAUAAAAUCGUUGACAUUACGACUGUUGGCAGAUGAAAUCAAUUUACAUGCAUUCAAUUACAAAUUGUUAGCCAUUUGUAGACAAAAAAAAAGAAAGAGAAAGAAAACACAUGUACACUAAAAUAAAUAGGAAAAACUUGGGCUUCCGACUGCGAGAUAUUCUGUUUUCAGUUCAAAGAACUAUUUUCGAUAUCAAAACGUGCAAAAAUAUUUCAGCUUGAAUCGUGGCAGAUCGACUAGAGAGCAAUAUUCGAAUGAAUGUGUGGACACUUGAUCUGAUAUGGGCCAUGUACGUAUUUCGUGAGAGUUCGAAGGAAGGAACGGAGACUUGAUAUGCAAUGGGCUACAUACAAAAUAAAUAUAGAGAAGAAGUCGAAUGGACGGAAGCUUGAUCUGCUAUAAGCUAUAUGUGUGUAUAUAUAGAAAAGAGCUCCAGCGAAUGGACGUCAAGAUGUGGCAACGGCACAUCAUACCCGGCCAAGCCGUUGGAACGCCAAGUUUCCACUGGAUGGAAAGGAAGGAAAAAAACUUGGCCAAUCAGUUUAUAAAGUUUAUGAGGCAACUGCCAACUGCCAAGUGCCAACUGCUUGUAACGGCGCGUUUUUAUGAGCCAAUAGAGCAUCCCCCAUAAACCCGCCCCCCCUUUCACUCCUACUCCUUCCCCUUCCCACCCUCUGCUAAUCAUACCAAGAGGCAUAUCAAUGGGCUGAUCGCUGCGACAAGUUUUGUGGCGCUGUUAAACGUUUGCAUGAUUUUGAUUUUGAUUUUAACGAUACGCGUCGGAGCUUGGACUUGGGCUUAGAGAUCGGACAUGGAACUGGACUGGACUGGACAGGUCUGGUCUGGAACGGAGUGGAGUGGAGCCGAGUGGAGUGGAGGGCAGCGCAGUCUGGCAGACUUGCAGCACGUCCUAAUUAGCGCCCCGACUGUGGUGGCCAUCAAAAUAAACACUUUUAGAAUACGAGCGGA